rnacentral:lncRNA from 1 species
GACAAACACUGUGAGUCUGCGGAGACUUUCUUUUGCCGAUGCUCAUGGGGUUGCUCAACAUGUCGAUGACCCACUUCCCCUGAUAUCCGUGGGGGAUUCCACCAUCUAGGUGUCACUCGACCCCCCCGAGACAGUUACAGUAUCAUUCUGUGUUAGACACAAUGGGAGGUAAUAGAUGAAAGGUUUACAAACCUAACCCCACCUCUGAAUAUGAACUGCCUCACAAUGACGCCACAGACCAGGCUGCAGCAGUGUGUUCAUUUCACUGACCAUGGAGACGUCUUCAUCACAGCACAAUGCGUCGGUUGCUGUGGUCGAGUGCGAUGGCAUCGGUGAGUUCUGUCACAGGGGGGCAGGUGCAGGUGCGCUCGCCGGGCCGCUUCCUCCUCCUCCUCUCCUCCGGCCUUUUCCUCGGUCCUGGUCGGUGACUAACCGGCGAUGUCGGCGAGUCACUUUCGUUUCCAGGGAAUCUCACCAUCGGCAUGGCGUGAUCACUCUGGCAUGAGUGAUCAUGAGUGAACCUCCUCUUACGAACAAGCCUCACAAGUGCCGAAGAAUAAGUACGUUGGCAGAGGGGAGGCGUUUUGGACCAAGGCGGUGGUGGCGAUGCUGUUACGAAGCCCAGUGGUUCACUGGUAAAGCAGUGGAUCCAGUCGGUGCUUGACGUGCCAGAGCUCACGUCAUUAAGCAGAAAAAAUUGCAUGCAAAAGCACACAUAAUGUCCAUGUAGUGAGUCAUGAACACACAUAUGCAUGCAUGCGCACAGUGGGAGGCGGCUCUCUGGCACACAAUCCGGGGCUCUACCUCCCUCCACCGUAGACCCCUUGCCAGGCCAGGCUUGGAAAGAGGUCACAUUCUCCAAGGUGUGUCUAAACAGAGAUGACAUGUGGAUGUGCUGGCACAAGACGCAGCUCUCGGCUCCCCACCACUGCAUCUCACGCCGCUGCCAGAAAAGCAGCCGCGGUUGAUUUCUUUCCCCCUCUUUUUUUCUUUCUUCUCUUUUUCUUCUCUCUCCCCACCGAACACCAGCUCUCUGCCAGAGAAAAACAGAAUCAUUGUUUGUUUUAAUGGUUUUUCCAUUCCUCAGGUUCAUCCUGACUUAAAAAUACCAAUAGGGCCGAGAGCAGACUUGACAACUGGAAUGAUGCUUAUGUUAAUUUGGGUCCUCCAUUGCUUCUAUCGCCCGAGGAGUUCGCUGUCAUUUUUCAUUUAACAGUUUUUUCUACAGACUGACAUGUUUGUGGAAAUGUAUCCCUGUGACUUAUUCCCUUCAUAACGUGACAGCGUAGCGUUUUACAGUAUAUCAUGUAUCAUCAGAUCUUUACCAGAGCAAACAUGUAAUUACACAGUGAC